rnacentral:rRNA from 1 species
GAUGAACGCUGGCGGCGUGCCUAAUACGUGCAAGUAGAACGCUGAAGGAGGAGCUUGCUCUUCUGGAUGAGUUGCGAACGGGUGAGUAACGCGUAGGUAACCUGCCUGGUAGCGGGGGAUAACUAUUGGAAACGAUAGCUAAUACCGCAUGACAACAGUUAUUGCAUGAUAACUGUUUAAAAGGGGCAACUGCUCCACUACCAGAUGGACCUGCGUUGUAUUAGCUAGUUGGUGAGGUAACGGCUCACCAAGGCGACGAUACAUAGCCGACCUGAGAGGGUGGUCGGCCACACUGGGACUGAGACACGGCCCAGACUCCUACGGGAGGCAGCAGUAGGGAAUCUUCGGCAAUGGACGGAAGUCUGACCGAGCAACGCCGCGUGAGGGAAGAAGGGUGUCGGAUCGUAAAGCUCUGUUGUAAGAGAAGAACGAGUGUGAGAGUGGAAAGUUCACACUGUGACGGUAUCUUACCAGAAAGGGACGGCUAACUACGUG